AGGUGGAUGUCAGGGAACUGCCAUCGGACGGAAGGGAGGUGAAAGGGCUCACACAGGUUGGGAGAGACGCAGCAGCUGAAGAGGGAACCAGCAGGGAGGUGAAAGGGCUCACACAGGUUGGGAGAGACGCAGCAGCUGAAGAGGGAACCAGCAGGGGGAGAGGAGCUGAGCUGGAGGGAUGGCUCAGAGACACUUCCAGCGAAAACAGUGGGGAGGUUUCAGGACCUCCUGUAAGAACACCCACUCCUCGCCGGAAACUGUCACGCAGAGAGUCCAGAAGACGUGUUUCCGUUAAGGAGCUUUUAUGUUGGAAGCGAUUACGAAAGCAACCACUGUCGGAAUCUGCUAGUGACUAGAGGAGCCAUGUCUGAGGGGCUCCGUCACAGACAGAGGUUUGUGGACUUGAACAAACUCUGAGGGGAUACGAUUUUACGCACAAGCAGCUCAUCAUCCCAUCACA